GACGAACGCUGGCGGCGUGCUUAACACAUGCAAGUCGAGCGGAAAGGCCCUUUCGGGGGUACUCGAGCGGCGAACGGGUGAGUAACACGUGAGUAAUCUGCCCCUGGCUUUGGGAUAGCCACCGGAAACGGUGAUUAAUACCGGAUACGACCACUUCUCGCAUGGGAUGGGGGUGGAAAGUUUUUCGGCCAGGGAUGUGCUCGCGGCCUAUCAGCUUGAUGGUGAGGUAAUGGCUCACCAUGGCUUCGACGGGUAGCCGGCCUGAGAGGGUGACCGGUCACACUGGGACUGAGACACGGCCCAGACUCCUACGGGAGGCAGCAGUGGGGAAUAUCGGACAAUGGACGAAAGUCUGAUCCAGCGACUCCGCGUGAGGGAUGAAGGCCUUCGGGUUGUAAACCUCUUUUGUAUGGGAAGAAAAAAAUGACGGUACCAUACGAAUAAGGACCUGCAAACUACGUGCCAGCAGCCGCCGUAA
rnacentral:rRNA from 1 species